AUGGCUCAGGAUGAACGCUAGCGGCAGGCUUAACACAUGCAAGUCGAGGGGCAUCGGGAGUAGCAAUACUUGCCGGCGACCGGCGCAAGGGUGCGUAACGCGUGAGCAACAUGCCCGUAUCAGGGGGGAUAAUCCAUGGAAACGUGGUCUAAUACCCCAUAGUAAUUAUGUAAGGCAUCUUAUAUAAUUUAAAGCUUUGGUGGAUACGGAUUGGCUCGCGUGACAUUAGCUAGAUGGUAAGGUAACGGCUUACCAUGGCUACGAUGCCUAGGGGUUCUGAGAGGAAGGUCCCCCACACUGGAACUGAGACACGGUCCAGACUCCUACGGGAGGCAGCAGUGAGGAAUAUUGGACAAUGGAUGGAAAUCUGAUCCAGCCAUGCCGCGUGCCAGGAAGACGGCCCUAUGGGUUGUAAACUGCUUUUGUAUGGGAGCAAUAAGGGCUACGCGUAGUCCGAUGAGAGUACCAUACGAAUAAGCACCGGCUAACUCCGUGCCAGCCGCGGC
rnacentral:rRNA from 1 species